CUGAGAGUUUGAUCCUGGCUCAGAGCGAACGCUGGCGGCAUGCCUAACACAUGCAAGUCGAACGCCCUCUUCGGAGGGAGUGGCGCACGGGUGAGUAACGCGUGGGAACCUGCCCCGAGGUACGGAACAACAGCUGGAAACGGCUGCUAAUACCGUAUGUGUCCUAAGGGAGAAAGAUUUAUCGCCUUGGGAGGGGCCCGCGUCCGAUUAGCUUGUUGGUGAGGUAACGGCUCACCAAGGCCACGAUCGGUAGCUGGUCUGAGAGGAUGAUCAGCCACACUGGGACUGAGACACGGCCCAGACUCCUACGGGAGGCAGCAGUGGGGAAUAUUGGACAAUGGGGGCAACCCUGAUCCAGCAAUGCCGCGUGUGUGAUGAAGGCCCUAGGGUUGUAAAGCACUUUCGCCGGUGACGAUGAUGACGGUAACCGGAUAAGAAGCCCCGGCUAACUCCGUGCCAGCAGCCGCGGUAAUACGGAGG
rnacentral:rRNA from 1 species